CCUACGGGGGGCAGCAGUGAGGAAUAUUGGUCAAUGGACGAGAGUCUGAACCAGCCAAGUAGCGUGAAGGAUGACUGCCCUAUGGGUUGUAAACUUCUUUUAUAAAGGAAUAAAACGAGGCACGUGUGCCUUUUUGCAUGUACUUUAUGAAUAAGGAUCGGCUAACUCCGUGCCAGCAGCCGCGGUAAUACGUAGGGGGCAAGCGUUAUCCGGAAUUACUGGGUGUAAUGGGAGCGUAGGAGGGUUGUUAAGUCCGUUGUGAAAGUUUGCGGUUCAACCGUAAAAUUGCAAUGGAUACUGGCAGGCUUGAGUACAGUUGAGGUAGGCGGAAUUCGUGGUGUAGCGGUGAAAUGCGUAGAUAUCACGAAGAACUCCGAUUGCGAAGGCAGCUUACUAAACUGCCACUGACAUUGAUGCGCGAAAGUGUGGGUAUCAAACAGGAUUAGAUACCCGUGUAGUC
rnacentral:rRNA from 1 species